rnacentral:rRNA from 1 species
CCUACGGGAGGCAGCAGUGGGGAAUAUUGGGCAAUGGACGCAAGUCUGACCCAGCAACGCCGCGUGAAGGAAGAAUGCUGUCGGGUUGUAAAAUUCUUUUAAGGGGGAAGAGCAGAAGACGGUACCCCUUGAAUAAGCCACGGCUAACUACGUGCCAGCAGCCGCGGUAAUACGUGGGUGGCAAACGUCGUCCGGAUUUACUGGGUGUAAAGGGCGUGCAGCCGGAGAGACAAGUCAGAUGGUAAAUCAACGGGCUCAACCCGUGAACUGCAUUUGAAACUGGUUCCCUGGAGUGUCGGAGAGGUAAGCGGAAUUCCGGGUGUAGCGGUGAAAUGCGUAGAUAUAAGGAAGAACACCAGUGGCGAAGGCGGAUUACUGGACGAUAACUGACGGUGAGGCGCGAAAGCGUGGGGAGCAAACAGGAUUAGAUACCCCUGUAGUC